rnacentral:rRNA from 1 species
CCCUUAGAUGUUCUGGGCCGCACGCGCGCUACACUGAUGCAUUCAACGAGUUUCUUCCUGGUCCGAGAGGAAUGGGUAACCUUUUGAAAGUGCAUCGUGAUAGGGAUAGACUAUUGCAAUUAUUGGUCUUCAACGAAGAAUUCCUAGUAGACGUAGUUCAUCAGACUGCAUCGAUUACGUCCCUGCCCUUUGUACACACCGCCCGUCGCUCCUACCGAUUGAAUGCUCAGGUGAGCCAUUCGGACUUUCAUCAUGCUGGUUUCCAGUUUUGAUGAAGGAAAGUCUUGCGAACCUUAUCAUUUAGAGGAAGGAGAAGUCGUAACA